AGUCAGUAAAUGAAUUUUCUUUUGAUUUUAUAUCUUAAGUGUUUUUCUUUCUCUCAUAGAUCUGCUCAUGUGGUCUCAAGCCACAGAGAGUCUAACAAACAUACCAGUAACUUUAGGAGCUGAUGUUAUUAUAACCUGUGAUCUUGAUAUAAAGGAGAUUUACUGGUACAAACUGAAAUUACCGGAUCCUCCAGUGUUGAUCUUACGCACUUAUGAUAGCACAUAUGAAGGAGCUAAAUAUGAAAACAGCAUCUUUGAACACAAAUACUUAGUGAAAACUAACAGUCGUCUGUUCAUCAAAAAUAUCACCAUUGAAGAAUUAGGAGUUUAUUAUUGCGUGAAAACUAGUGAACCACAAAAAUUCAAUAACGGCACCAAAAUCUACAUCAGCGACUUUGUCCAAAAGAAUAUUACAGACUCAGUCCACAGGAAUCAGACAGAUGAUGCUCCACAACACCAGAUACCAUGGAAAACUCUGACCAUCACAUCUGUCCUGAUAAUUGUGCUUUUGACCAUUGCAUUAAUAGGUAUGGUGAAGAGCUACCUGGAUGCAACUGGAAAAUCUGCAGCUCAGAACUCAAAUAAUCCACAGUGUGCUGAAAUUGAUUUUUCCAUGUGCUCCAGUAGCACCAGGCCUUGCCAGGAGCAGAGCACUACUGUCUACUACAGCCAAUGUAUGAUGUAAUAUACAGAUUAUUGUAUUAUAAAUACAAAUUGUGCCUACAUAUUAGUUUUUUAUUAUUAUUAUUUUAAAUGGGUGCAUUUAACCUGAUAGGAAAUUUGAACUUUGUUUCAGAACAAGAAUCUUUUUCAUGAAUUAUAUAAUUAUGUUACCUUUUAUAAGUUUGCUGCUUUGUAUCUAAAUAUGCAGUGUUAUAGGUACUAAUGAAACAUUAUUUGCUGGUACUGUUUUGAGUGGAGAUCAUGCUUAUAUAUAGUAAUAAUAAUCUUUUUUUUCUAUGUUAUAUGUAAGUGUGCUGA